rnacentral:rRNA from 1 species
UUUUAUCUUUUUUCUUAGAUGAAAACACCCGUUCUCGUCCGAUCACGGAUGUUAAGUAUCGUCGGGCCGGGAUAGUACUUGGAUGGGGGACCGCCUGGGAACUCCCGGUGUCGUGGAGC